rnacentral:misc_RNA from 1 species
UGGCAGCGCUAAAGUGAGGUGUUGGGAGCAUGCGCUCUUUUUGUAGCCGAAACCAUGUGUUAUUCCGCGUAAUGUAAUAACAGUUUCAGUUUCAAAUAUUUAAUUUAUUUCAACAACAGUUCAAUAAAAUUGUAUCUGAGCAAAGUAAAAUCUGCUCAUUGUUAUGGCUGCUGAAAGAAAGGGUACCUUCAAGGUUCGGACACUACUUGAUAUUGAAAAGCAGAUACAGGAAAAAUGGGAAAAAGAAAAUAUUUUUGAAGAGGAUGCACCUGCUGAUAAUGUUAAAAUAGAAAAAUAUCUUGCAACUUUUCCAUAUCCUUAUAUGAAUGGUCGUCUGCAUUUAGGGCAUACUUUUUCACUUUCGAAAUGUGAGUUUGCUGUUGGCUACCAAAGAAUGAAAGGAAAGAAGUGUUUAUUCCCAUUUGGCUUACACGCUACUGGCAUGCCAAUAAAAGCUUGUGCUGAUAAGCUAAAGUGGGAAAUAGAGACAUAUGGUUUUCCACCUAAUUUUCCUAAAGAAAGUGAUGGAGACAAUCCUGAAGAAAUGGAAGAAAGCCCACAGCUGCCUGCUGAUAAAGCUAAAGGCAAAAAGAGUAAGCUGGCUGCUAAAUCUGGUACUGCAAAUUACCAGUGGCAAAUAAUGCAAUCACUGGGACUUAAAGAUGAAGAAAUCAAGAAAUUUUCUGAUGCAGAGCAUUGGUUACAGUAUUUUCCACCUUUAGCUAUUAGUGAUCUGAAAUCAAUGGGUGUUAAAGUAGAUUGGCGCAGAACAUUCAUAACCACAGACUGUAAUCCGUAUUAUGAUUCUUUUGUUCGUUGGCAGUUUAUUAGACUCAGAGAAAGAGGAAGGAUUCAGUUUGGAAAAAGGUACACUAUAUUUUCUCCUAAAGAUAACCAGCCAUGUAUGGACCAUGACCGAAGUUCUGGCGAGGGUGUUGGACCUCAAGAAUACACUCUAAUUAAAAUGAAAGUUUUAGAACCUCUUCCCCAAAAACUUAGUAGUUUUACAGGGUUUUCUGUAUUUCUGAUUGCUGCAACACUGAGACCUGAAACUAUGUAUGGCCAAACAAAUUGCUGGGUGAGACCAGAUAUGAAGUACAUAGCAUUUCAAAUUUCUAGUGGGGACAUUUAUAUCUGUACAAGAAGAGCAGCUCGUAACAUGAGUUAUCAAGGAUUCACAAGUGAAACUGGCAAAGUAUCUGAAUUAAUAGAGUUGGAGGGUAGAGAUCUCCUGGGUCUACCUUUAAAAGCUCCGUUAACUUCAUAUGAUGUUAUGUACACAUUACCCAUGUUGACGAUCAAAGAUGACAAAGGUAAAGUCUCAGAACUGGUGUUGUAACAAGUGUACCAUCCGAUUCCCCUGAUGAUUUUGCUGCCUUAAAUGAUUUAAAGAAAAAGCCAGAACUAAGAAAGAAAUUCAAUAUCACAGAUGACAUGGUUAUGAAAUACAGUCCUGUACCUAUUCUUGAAGUUCCUGACUUUGGAUCACUUUGUGCUCAAAGUGUUUGUGAGGAAAUGAAAAUCCAGAGCCAAAAUGAAAAGGAAAAGCUUGCCACUGCAAAAGAGAAAAUAUAUUUAAAGUCAUUUUAUGAAG